AUUGAACGCUGGCGGCAUGCCUUACACAUGCAAGUCGAACGGCAGCAUGGAAGAGCUUGCUCUUCUGAUGGCGAGUGGCGAACGGGUGAGUAAAGCAUCGGAACGUACCGUGUAGUGGGGGAUAACGUAGCGAAAGUUACGCUAAUACCGCAUACGCACUGAGGUGGAAAGCAGGGGAUCGCAAGACCUUGCGCUAUACGAGCGGCCGAUGUCAGAUUAGCUAGUUGGUAGGGUAAAGGCCUACCAAGGCGACGAUCUGUAGCGGGUCUGAGAGGAUGAUCCGCAACACUGGGACUGAGACACGGCCCAGACUCCUACGGGAGGCAGCAGUGGGGAAUUUUGGACAAUGGGGGAAACCCUGAUCCAGCCAUGCCGCGUGAGUGAAGAAGGCCUUCGGGUUGUAAAGCUCUUUCGGCUGGGAAGAAAUCGCACAGGCUAAUACUCUGUGUGGAUGACGGUACCAGCACAAGAAGCACCGGCUAACUACGUGCCAGCCGCCGCAGUAA
rnacentral:rRNA from 1 species